rnacentral:lncRNA from 10 species
UUGUGGGGCAGAGUGGGGUUUCGCCCUGGGGGAGCAUAUGUGGCAGAGGGCACAGGAAGAUCUGUAAGCAAGAGGGCAUAGCAAAUUAAAUGACCACACUGUCAGGAAGGUUGACAGGCCAAAGAAAGAUCAGCUCCUCCAAAUCUGCUGAACUAACUCUCCCCUCGUAGCCCCAGACACGUUUUCUCAAUUUGAGCACAAUAUCCAUUACUAUUUCCCGUACUGGGUUUCAAUUAAAGAGAGUGAGAGUAGAAAGUUCACUGGUGUUUGGGGGUUCAUUUAUUUCCAAGCAGGAUGCAAAUGAAAGGGAGCCGUGGGCACAGAGUUGUCAUGUGUGUUUUUCCUCCCUCUUCUUUCCAUUUCCUUCUUGCAACCUUCCCUCCACUUCUUGCCAGCCACCCAGCACACCCGUGUUCCCAAAGCAAAUGUUUUCAUGUCUUGAAAAUCCAGUUAGGGUGAGGAGAGAAGGAAGGUGAUAACAUCAUACCUACUGAUGCCCCCUAGAGAUGAAGCUGUCCUGGGGGCACUUAAGGCUUGAGGGAAGGAUUUACCUUCUCGAGAUGGGCACAGGAAUUGGGGUAGUGUGAGCACUUGAAGGGUUCCAGGUUUUACUGUUGCACUGAAAACAGAUGCAAUCCCUCCUGCUGUAACAUGCCCCUAUGGAAAAAAUCUAGCCUUCUGUGCAGUUAUCCUGUUUUGGUCCUAGAACACAGGGUGGUGAUCUUGCUUCUCUGGGGGGUGCCAGGCAAAUAGAAGACGUGAAAAUCUGCUGCCAAGGUCAGGAUGUAGGUCCUGGAUUCAGGAUCUUGACCCCAGGCCUGCCCUGUCACCGAGCAGUGGUCUCACAACCAGGCAAACUCUCUGGCCAAACUCACUUCACACAAACUUGAGCUGAGCACCAGCCCUCCAACCCCCUCCACCUUCUAUGAUCACUGACUUUGUACCAUGGCCACACAGACCACUGGGCAGAAGAGUAGCUGCAGGGUGUCGGUCUUAAUUUCAUGACACUCUGCGUAGCCUCCUCCUCCUUCCACGUCAGCAAAAGAAACUAGAGGCCUCAACAAUGUGACUGUAUUUUGAGUUGGGAUGUGUCCCUCCCAAAUCAAUCAUCCCGGCUCCAAAUAAUACAAACAAAUUCUACAUAUUUUAAAAUGUCCCAAGUCUUGUAUGAUAUCCAGGGACCGAUUAGUGCCGACUGGAGAGACUAUUCCCUCUCCCAUUCCGAAUAAAGGGUUAGGUGAAGGUUGUGGCCCGAGAGAUCCCAGAAGCCCUUAAAAGUCUUUAGCUUGGGGUUUGAAUAAUGAGGGCUAGAUAAGUUUGUUUUCUCUUCCUUUCAAAAAUUUUUUUAUUUUAGAGGAAGGGGAAUGAGGAAGGCGCACGCGCGCGCUCACACACACACACACACACACACACACACGCAGAAAGAGAGAAAAUGUUUGGAAUUGUGAAAGUGCCUUUCCUAGUAGUUGCUUUUACUGGCGCCCGGGCCUCAAUUCAUUUCAUCUCUGAACCAGAUACUAAAAAUCCUCCAGGCGAGUGGAGAGGACCGGCCUUCCUGGAUCGGGAACCUGCCCUCUGUCUUCCCUCGCAGCGCCCUUUCCUCCUUUCGCUUGGGAAAGGAAGAUUUCGAGCCCCAGGAAGGAGUUGGGAGUGAGCGACAGCCCAGAGCGUCCCAUAAGGUCCUUUUGGCCAUGUUUCUGCCCCGGGGGGCUUCACCUAGAUCCCCCACCCCACCCCUUACCCCUGUUGCAAAUACGUAAGCUGGACGCGCCUCGGUGCGGAUCCAGGCCUCGCUGAGCACGGAACCGGAGAAGCAGCUCACGGCCUCGGAUUCUACUCUCACCCAAGGGUGGAAGGGGGUGACAGGGCUCGGAUCUUGCCCCAAACGCUGCACAGGCCCGCAGGAGAGCAAAGAGGUCUCGGACAGGCUGUCCUUCCCCAGCUCUCGGUCGCGACAAGGUCCCGACAGGCCCGGGAACCGGCGAACCGCCUGCAGCUGCUAUCGACAACACUUACAGCCUCCAGAAAUGACCCUUGGUGCCGACUUGUCUGGAAGCCAUCAGGGUUAGUUUUGAAGCAGGAAUCUUCAAGUGGACCAGAGGGUUGUCUUCUGCUCCUGAUCUGGUUGGCUGGAGACACUUAGAAGCUAUGGCCUUUCACCUACAGGGUCUCUCUUUGUUGCCUAGGCUGGAGUGCAGUGGAACGAACUUGGCUUAUUGAAGCAUUGACCACCUGGACCCAAGUGAUUCUCCUACCUUAGCCUCUUGAAUAGCUGUGACAACAGGUGUGCACUACCACACCCAGAUAAAUUUUGUAAUUUUUAUAGAGAGGGCAUUUGACCAUGUUGCCCAGGCUGGUCUCAAACUCCUGAGCUCAAGUGAUACUCCUGCCUCGGCCUCCCAAAGUGCUGGGAUUACAGAUGAAGAAAAUGAGGCACUGAGAGAUUACAUAACUUCCCUUGAGUCAUAUUUGCUUGUAAGUGGUAAGGCUGGAUGUUGAACCCAGGACAAAGGGGUAUGUAUGCAUGUAUGUAUGUAUUUAUUUUUAAUUUAUUUUUUAAAGACAAGAUCUCUGCUGUCACUCAGGCUCAAGUACAGUGGCAAGAUCAUAGCUUACUGCAGCCUUAACCUCCUGGGCUCAAGGAAUCCUCCCGCCUCAGCCUCCUGAGUAGCUGGGAAUAUAGGUAUAUUCUGCUGUACCUGGCUAGAUGUUAAAAGCUAGUGGCUUUUAAGCUUUGUGCUAUACCACCUUUUUCAAGACCACUGAGUUCAGAUAGUGACCUCAGAGUGAGGACACAAUGGCACUCCAGCUCAGACAGGUCUCUGGGGAUAGUGACAGAAUUCUCUCUUCCCAGUGUCCACUCAAGGGACAGAAUUCUGUACCUUAGGCCAGAAUUUCCUCCAGUUCUUUCCAUCCCUUGGGCAACCUACAUAUCUGUGGCCUAUUCUAGGGGACUGGAAGUGACAGCUGAGACCUGCUUAGUGACGUGACAUCAUGGGAAUUUGAGAGCACAGGCUUUGAGGCUGGCAUGGUGAUAGUAAUUACUGGCCUCAGCAUGACGGGGAGGGUGACUGAGAUAAGCGCCUGGAAAGAGGCUGGCAGGGUGCCGGGCACUUAGAAGGCACCCGGUGUGGUGGAGAUGGUUGGCCUUGUGGAUUGUCCUGUAGUCUGUUAAUUCCUAGGACUGGAAUACUAAUUUUAUGGUUGGGGGAUACUUGAUAGAACUUGUUUCUGCAGGAUGAGAAGGAAAAUGCUCUGCAAAUUUGCAGAGCACUGACUAUAAAAAUUGAGACCAGAGAACUUACUAUAAGCUGGGUACCCUGGGAGGCACUGACAUAUAUCAUCUCACAAUCUUUGCAAACAACUCUAGGGAACGGGACACCCCUGUUACAGAUGAGGAGGCUGAGGAUCAGAGAUGAGCUUGCUCAAGGUCGCUUAGCUA